GAUGAAGAACGUAGCGAAAUGCGAUACGUAAUGUGAAUUGCAAAUUCAGUGAAUCAUCGAGUCUUUGAACGCACAUUGCGCCCCCUGGUAUUCCGGGGGGCAUGCCUGUCCGAGCGUCAUUGCUGCCCUCAAGCACGGCUUGUGUGUUGGGCCCCGUCCUCCGAUUCCGGGGGACGGGCCCGAAAGGCAGCGGCGGCACCGCGUCCGGUCCUCGAGCGUAUGGGGCUUUGUCACCCGCUCUGUAGGCCCGGCCGGCGCUUGCCGAUCAACCCAAAUUUUUAUCCAGGUUGACCUCGGAUCAGGUAGGGAUACCCGCUGAACUUAAGCAUAUCAUAAGCGGAGGA
rnacentral:misc_RNA from 1 species